rnacentral:rRNA from 1 species
CGGAACGGGUGAGUAACGCGUGAGGAACCUGCCUCAAAGAGGGGGACAACAGUUGGAAACGACUGCUGAUACCGCAUAAGCCCACGGCUCGGCAUCGAGCAGAGGGAAAAGGAACAAUCCGCUUUGAGAUGGCCUCGCGUCCGAUUAGCUAGUUGGUGAGGUAACGGCCCACCAAGGCGACGAUCGGUAGCCGGACUGAGAGGUUGAACGGCCACAUUGGGACUGAGACACGGCCCAG